rnacentral:rRNA from 1 species
AUACGUAGGGCGCGAGCGUUGUCCGGAAUUACUGGGUGUAAAGGGAGCGUAGGCGGGAGUGCAAGUCAGAUGUGAAAUGCAUGGGCUUAACCCAUGAGCUGCAUUUGAAACUGCAUUUCUUGAGUGAAGUAGAGGUAAGCGGAAUUCCUGGUGUAGCGGUGAAAUGCGUAGAUAUCAGGAGGAACACCGGUGGAGAAGGCGGCUUACUGGGCUUUUACUGACGCUGAGGCUCGAAAGCGUGGGGAGCAAACAGGAUUAGAUACCCUGGUAGUCCACGCUGUAAACGAUGAUUACUAGGUGUGGGGGGACUGACCCCUUCCGUGCCGCAGUUAACACAAUAAGUAAUCCACCUGGGGAGUACGGCCGCAAGGUUGAAACUCAAAUGAAUUGACGGAG